ACCUGUAUGAUAGCUCAGUCAGUAGGGCAUGGGACUCUUAAUCUCAGGGUAGUGGGUUUGAGUCCCACAUUAGGCA